UGACCAAUCAAGCUCUGCUUGGUCUUGGGGCACGCAAUCCCAGCGGCUCUUAAAAUCAGUGGCGGUGCCGUCUAGCUCUAAGUGCAGUAAUUUUUCUCGCUAUAGGGUUAGGUGUCCACCCGCCAGAACCCCCAACUCCUCAAG
rnacentral:misc_RNA from 1 species